UCUGAAGCAUUUAUUGUAUCACAGCUCUGAAGCAUCUAUUGUAUGCAGGCUUAUUAGUGGUUUAUCUUGAGACAUUGGAGGCCACCAAAAUUAAGAAAGGCAUGCUCGAGAGCAUGGGUAGUUAUGGUGACUGGCUUUGGGUAGGUUAGUGAAGCUUAUCUCAAACACAUUGCGUUUUUGUACUCAGAUGCUCUUUAGUUCCCUAAAAUCAAAUUAAAAUGUUAUGUAAGAGCAAUAUAUUUGAGCCCACCACCAUUGUUGCUGAGAGCAUGCCUCCUGAAAAUAUACUUCCAAAAAAAUACUUGCAUUGUUUCAAAUGCGGUGGCCGAUAACUCUUUAAUCCAUUUUGUCUUUAAUUUACAGCUAUUCCUUGUAACAAGAAAUAUAGCAAGAACAAGAAUUUUUUUAUUUAUAGAAACAAGAAAAUAUGAAUCCACAAAAAUUAUAGAAUUUGGUUCUAUGUCACCUCAAGAGAAAACAUGAACAAACUAAUUAUUGAGGCCGUACAUAUCAUUAAAUGUAUAUUAUAAGGACAGGAUUUGCAUUUAGCUGGAUUUUUUUUUUGAGUGAACUGGAGAGGCCAAAGGCCUCUACAUAAAUUUAUUCAAAAGAGGUAAAGGUUGUACAGCCAAAGCGACAAAGGAAGAAGCAAAACUAAGCAAAACAAGAAAAAGAGGAAAACAAUAGGAAAGCCUGAACUCAGGGUACAAAGAAGGAGAGGAAGAAAAGGAGAGAAACUACAGCAGGUUUUCUACCCAUAAAUCAAAAGUUACAGAGAACCUAGCCGCGCCCUCAGAUUGCCUAGCACAACAGGAUUAUAACCAUCAUGAAGAAGUGGGGGUGAGUUUGUCCCUUAAUGACCUAGAUAGGUAAAGGUGUUGGUCUGAGGUUGCACUACAAUCCCAAUCUUACUCCAGCAUUCAAUUGCAAAAGGGCAAUCAUUGUUAAUUAAUUUGCCUAUGCAUUGCUACAGGGGGAAAAAAUAAUAUCAUGGCGAUUUAAAUUUGAACGUGUAUUGUGCUAUUAUGAAAAAAUAAUAUCAUGUUGUUUGCAACCAA